GGGUUAGCAAACUUGUAUGAGAAAUAUAAUCACAUAAAUGCUAAGGAUGACUUGCCUGGUGUUUACCAAAAGCUCCUGGAUCUUUAUGAAAGUGUUGACAAACUGAAGUGGUGUGAUGUCUGCAAGAAACUUGUGGAUCUAUAUUACCAAGAAAAGAAACACCUAGAGGUGGCUCGAACAUGGCACAAGUUGAUAAAAACACGGCAGGAAGAAGGUGCAGACAACCAAGAGCUUCAUCAACUAUGGAGAAAAUUGACUCAGUUCCUGGCUGAAAGUACAGAGGACCAGAAUAAUGAAACUCAGCAAUUGCUUUUAACUGCUUUUGAGAAUGCACUGGGAUUAUCAGAUAAGAUUCCUAGUGAAGAUCACCAAGUACUUUAUAGGCAUUUCAUUCAGAGUUUAUCCAAAUUUCCUCAUGAGUCUGCUAGAUUGAAGAAGGCCUGUGAAGGAAUGAUAAACAUCUAUCCUACUGUACAGUAUCCAUUAGAAGUGCUUUGUUUGCAUUUAAUUGAAUCAGGUAAUUUCUUCCUUAUUAUAGUGUGUGUCCUAGAGGUGUGUGAUUAUGUGAGUGAUGUUAUUAAUCAAAAAAUGUUUUAGUGUCUACCAUGUUUAAGGUGUUGUUUCUGUGUUUCUGGACAUAAAAAGAAGUAUAAUGUGUAGUCUUUGUGUACAUGAAAAGACUAAUAAAUAUAGAAAAGUACAGUAAUACAGAAGAAUUAUGGGUUGCCAGAUUUAUUGUUAGUCAGUGAAAUCUUUUUAAUGGUGGGAAUUGGAGGGGGUCUUGAAUUUAACUAGAUAAACA
rnacentral:sRNA from 1 species